GACGAACGCUGGCGGCGUGCUUAACACAUGCAAGUCGAACGGAAAGGCCCUGCUUUUGUGGGGUGCUCGAGUGGCGAACGGGUGAGUAACACGUGAGUAACCUGCCCUUGACUUUGGGAUAACUUCAGGAAACUGGGGCUAAUACCGGAUAGGAGCUCCUGCUGCAUGGUGGGGGUUGGAAAGUUUCGGCGGUUGGGGAUGGACUCGCGGCUUAUCAGCUUGUUGGUGGGGUAGUGGCUUACCAAGGCUUUGACGGGUAGCCGGCCUGAGAGGGUGACCGGCCACAUUGGGACUGAGAUACGGCCCAGACUCCUACGGGAGGCAACAGUGGGGAAUAUUGCACAAUGGGCGGAAGCGUGAUGCAGCAACGCCGCGUGCGGGAUGACGGCCUUCGGGUUGUAAACCGCUUUCGCCUGUGACGAAGCGUGAGUGACGGUAAUGGGUAAAGAAGCACCGGCUAACUACGUG
rnacentral:rRNA from 1 species